AUUGAACGCUGGCGGCAGGCCUAACACAUGCAAGUAGAACGAGUGGCGGACGGGUGCGUAAUGUCUGGGAAACUGCCUGAUGGAGGGGGAUAACUACUGGAAACGGUAGCUAAUACCGCAUACCAUCGGAUGUGCCCAGAUGGGAUUAGCUAGUAGGUGGGGUAAAGGCUUACCUAGGCGACAAUCCCUAGCUGGUCUGAGAGGAGGACCCGCCAAACUGGAACUGAGACACGUUCCAGACUCCUACGGUAGUCAGCAGUGGGGAAUAUUGAACAAGGGGCGCAAGCCUGAUGCAGCCAUGCCGCGUGUAUGAAGAAGGCCUUCGGGUUGUAAAGGACUUUCAGCGGGGAGGCGUUACCCGCAGAAGAAGCACCGGCUAACUCCGUGCCAGCAGCCGCGGUAAUAC
rnacentral:rRNA from 1 species